AUUGAACGCUGGCGGCAUGCCUUACACAUGCAAGUCGAACGGUAACGCGGGGCAACCUGGCGACGAGUGGCGAACGGGUGAGUAACGCAUCGGAACGUGCCCAGUAGUGGGGGAUAGCCCGGCGAAAGCCGGAUUAAUACCGCAUACGACCUACGGGUGAAAGCGGGGGAUCGCAAGACCUCGCGCUAUUGGAGCGGCCGAUGUCAGAUUAGGUAGUUGGUGGGGUAAAGGCCUACCAAGCCGACGAUCUGUAGCUGGUCUGAGAGGACGACCAGCCACACUGGGACUGAGACACGGCCCAGACUCCUACGGGAGGCAGCAGUGGGGAAUUUUGGACAAUGGGCGCAAGCCUGAUCCAGCCACGCCGCGUGCAGGAAGAAGGCCUUCGGGUUGUAAACUGCUUUUGUACGGAACGAAAGGGCUCUGGAUAAUACCUGGGGCUCAUGACGGUACCGUAAGAAUAAGCACCGGCUAACUACGUGCCAGCAGCCGCCGUAAUAC
rnacentral:rRNA from 1 species